GCACCAGACUCCUACGGGAGGCAGCAGUGGGGGAUAUUGCACAAUGGGGGGAACCCUGAUGCAGCGACGCCGCGUGGGUGAAGAAGCGCCUCGGCGCGUAAAGCCCUGUCAGCAGGGAAGAAAAUGACGGUACCUGAAGAAGAAGCCCCGGCUAACUACGUGCCAGCAGCCGCGGUAAUACGUAGGGGGCAAGCGUUAUCCGGAUUUACUGGGUGUAAAGGGGGCGCAGACGGCGAUGCAAGCCAGGAGUGAAAGCCCGGGGCCCAACCCCGGGACUGCAUUUGAAACUGUCAGGCUGGAGUGCAGGAGAGGUAAGUGGAAUUCCUAGUGUAGCGGUGAAAUGCGUAGAUAUUAGGAGGAACACCAGUGGCGAAGGCGGAUUGCUGGACAGUAACUGACGCUGAGGCGCGAAAGCGUGGGGAGCAAACAGGAUUAGAUACCCGUGUACC
rnacentral:rRNA from 1 species